UACGUAGGGUGCAAGCGUUACUCGGAAUUACUGGGCGUAAAGCGUGCGCAGGCGGCGCGUUAAGCCAGGUGUGAAAGCCCCGAGCUUAACUUGGGAAUUGCGCUUGUGACUGGCGUGCUGGAGUGUGGCAGAGGGAGGUGGAAUUCCACGUGUAGCAGUGAAAUGCGUAGAUAUCGGAAGGAACAUCAGUGGCGAAAGCGGCUUCCUGGACCAGCACCGACGUUCAGGCACGAAAGCGUGGGGAGCAAACAGG
rnacentral:rRNA from 1 species